CCCUACACCGUGUUCACUGCUUUCUGUUCACUAAGAAGAGGAUAUUCGUUGGUCGUGUAUAUUUAAGAAGUUUGAGCUUUUCUCUUGACCUUGGAGCCUGACUGUUGCGAGAAGAAACCCCACCAGCCCCAAAGACUUAUUCCCUCAAUUUAACAGCAGACCGAGGUGUUUCUCCAGCAUCAUCGGAUCAAUGAAAACCCCAGGGACGAUGCUGAUUGCCAAAGAUUGGACAAGCUAACAAGCGCAUGAUGAGGAACCAGUUGGUUCUUCUUGCUUUCUCUCAGUUUUCGGAGGUCUUUGGGACGGGCACACACAAAAGAGAAGCUGAUCCGUGGAUGUAUUCUGUCAUUUUUUUGGAGGCUGCUUUUUCUUCCUUGUUUAGACUUGGUUCAACUUGACAGGGUGCUUUUAAGGAUAUUUCGGGGUCCAAAAAUGAGUGGAAUACCAGGAAAUCAAUGAAAGGAUGUAUUCAUGGAUCGGAGCUCGUGGACUACAUUUUAACUCCCUUUCUGUUCAAGUCACUGACUCAUUUAUCAGAGUCUUCCAUCACAAAGGUGGCCUAUUGAGAUCGACACACUUUGGUUUUUCCGUUACAUGUGGGUGAGUCUUAACGUUUUCGUUGGAUCCAUCUUAUCCCAUAUAUGAUUAGUGAUUGGUGAGAGACACAGAGAGGGAGGGACAAUUCAAACACCCAACUCACCCUCUAGUCUAAAAUAAGUGUGGUUCUAGUGGAAUUUUCCCACAUAAAAUAAAUACUAAA